rnacentral:rRNA from 1 species
GCCCGUUCGGGAAUUCCGAGACAGGUGCUGCAUGGCUGUCGUCAGCUCGUGCCGUGAGGUGUUGGGUUAAGUCCCGCAACGAGCGCAACCCUAUUGCCAGUUGCUACCAGGUAAUGCUGGGCACUCUGGUGAGACUGCCCCGGUUAACGGGGAGGAAGGUGGGGACGACGUCAAGUCAUCAUGGCCCUUACGCCUAGGGCUACACACGUACUACAAUGGCGCAUACAAAGGGCAGCGAUACCGCGAGGUGGAGCCAAUCCCAAAAAGUGCGUCCCAGUCCGGAUUGCAGUCUGCAACUCGACUGCAUGAAGUUGGAAUCGCUAGUAAUUCGAGAUCAGCAUGCUCGGGUGAAUGCGUUCCCGGGCCUU